rnacentral:lncRNA from 1 species
UUGGUAAUUUUUUAUUUGUUUUACUCAAUUUGUCAAGUUAUAGUACAUAGUACUUUUGAGAAACAAUACAUGUAUUUUCAUAGAUUUCAGUCCAUUGUGGAGUCGUUCCUUCUAAGGAUAUGAAGGUAGAAUGUUUCAAGGUUUAUUCACGGUCUAUUGCCUGUUUAAUGUGCUUGUAUGCUAAUAUUGUGAAUGCCGUUUUUUAACCCUAUUUGAAUUUUCUUAGUACAUACAAUCCUUUCUUUUAUGGCUCUAAAUUUUCGAAGUACAUACAAUGUUUUUUUACCUUUUUUAAAUCUGAAUUUUGAAAUGCCAUUUUAUCAAGAACAGAUAUGUUAUUCUGACCUCACAUUUUUUUUGUUUUUAGCGCCUUAUUUUCUAUCAAGAAAUUGCCCAAGUGAAGAUUGUGAGACCUGAUUUUCUUAGUAUGUGAUUUGGAGAGAAAGACUUGAAAUUCACUUUAUUGCAUGAAAAUUUUAUAGGAAAUGUCUAAACUUGGUCUUAAUCAAUACCUCAUUGAUGGUGGUGAGCAGCGAACAUCUGCCACCACCCACCACCACUUAACCAUUAGGACCUGACACCCAAGAAGAAAAGGUUGUAUCCUACAACAACAACAACAACAAAACUGGGCUUGCCUUUUUUACUUGUUAGAUGAGAUGUUCAUUAUCGUAGAAGCUUGUUAUUGGAUCUAAAAAAGAAUCAUUGGUAUUUUUUUUGUUUAUGUUGGCUAAAUUUAAAUGGCUGAAUCAUUAUUAUUAGAAGAAAGAUAUACAAUAAUUUUGAACUCUGAUUUUAUAAGAAUUAUCUGUAUGCAUAUUUUUUUACUUGUCUCCUUGGCUAUUAUGAAAAUAGAUUUAAUAUUAGAAUUACCCUAAAAUUAAGUACUACAUAGGCACAGAACUCUCGGUGGCACACAUUGGACUAAAUGAGAGUUAUGUGCUGUUUUGCCUUUUACCAGUGCUAAGUGCUAUCAGGCUGCCUGUGAUUCUUUGUUAUGUGCUGUGAUUCUUUAUACUAUGUAUGCAUAUAUGCACUUGUUCUCCUGGUGAUGCUAACCGAAUAGGACUAAGUAUAAUUCAAACCAAGUCCUAUUCGGCCCAAACGGAAACGGACGGGAGUUUUUACAAUUUUUGUGGAAUCGGACAGAUUCGUUUUUUUCGCCCAAAUUUUUUUUACCGCGUCGAUCGAAUCGGAUUUGAUUUGUUUUUUUACCGGGUCGCAUUUUUUUAAUCGCGUCACAUAUAAUUCCUUUUUUUUUUCAAUGGGACAGAUUCGUUUUUUUUCACCUUUUUUUUACCGCGUCAACGGAGUUGGUUUCGUUUUUCUUUCUCGCGAUUUUUUCCAGCUUUUUUUUUGGAUCGGACAGAUUCAUUUUUUUUCUCCCGUUUUUUUUUUCUACCCGAUAUUUUUUUCGCCUAGUGUUUUUGUCCUUUAACUUAUAAGUACUACAUAUGAGGAACCACAUGUUAUUUGAUAUGGGAAUUGGUGGCAGAUUUACUGCUCCGUUAUUUUCUUCUUUUAAAGUGGUUGUAUAUUUUAAAGUUAUAAUCGCUACAAAUGGUGUGCUCUCUAUUCUAUUAGGAUUUAGUCUAAUUUUUUUUACCUUUGAAUCUUUGUAUCUAUAUAUUAGUCACCCUGUUACUUGGUUAAACACUUUACAUAAUACAACAAAUGUGAUUUGGGCUUUCUUGUGGAACAAUCAUGUUGUUUUAGUCUGUAUAGAAAACAUAUUCAAAUUAUGUUGUUAGAUUAAAGGGUUUUUUUUUUCCAUUCUCUCACCUUCUCCCUCUCUUCUCUCCCUCCCACCCUCCAAAUCCUAUUCAGAUCUUCCUGGGAACUCCACCUCUCUCUCCCUCUCUCCCUCUCCCCCUCUCCUCUCCCUCACGCCCUCCAAAUCUCUUCCUGGGAACUCCACCUCUCUCUCCCUCUCCCACUCUUCCCCCUCUUCUCUCCCUCUUUUCUCUCUUCUCUCCCUCUUACACCGUCCAAAUCCGAACAGCAGCAGGAGGAGGAGG